rnacentral:rRNA from 1 species
UUUAUGGAGAGUUUGAUCCUGGCUCAGGAUGAACGCUGGCGGCGUGCCUAAUACAUGCAAGUCGAGCGAACAGAUAAGGAGCUUGCUCCUUUGACGUUAGCGGCGGACGGGUGAGUAACACGUGGGUAACCUACCUAUAAGACUGGAAUAACUCCGGGAAACCGGGGCUAAUGCCGGAUAACAUGUUGAACCGCAUGGUUCUACAGUGAAAGACGGUCUUGCUGUCACUUAUAGAUGGACCCGCGCCGUAUUAGCUAGUUGGUGGGGUAACGGCCUACCAAGGCGACGAUACGUAGCCGACCUGAGAGGGUGAUCGGCCACACUGGAACUGAGACACGGUCCAGACUCCUACGGGAGGCAGCAGUAGGGAAUCUUCCGCAAUGGGCGAAAGCCUGACGGAGCAACGCCGCGUGAGUGAUGAAGGUCUUCGGAUCGUAAAGCUCUGUUGUUAGGGAAGAACAAAUGUGUAAGUAACUGUGCACAUCUUGACGGUACCUAACCAGAAAGCCACGGCUAACUACGUGCCAGCAGCCGCGGUAAUACGUAGGUGGCAAGCGUUAUCCGGAAUUAUUGGGCGUAAAGCGCGCGUAGGCGGUUUUUUAAGUCUGAUGUGAAAGCCCACGGCUCAACCGUGGAGGGUCAUUGGAAACUGGAAAACUUGAGUGCAGAAGAGGAAAGUGGAAUUCCAUGUGUAGCGGUGAAAUGCGCAGAGAUAUGGAGGAACACCAGUGGCGAAGGCGGCUUUCUGGUCUGCAACUGACGCUGAUGUGCGAAAGCGUGGGGAUCAAACAGGAUUAGAUACCCUGGUAGUCCACGCCGUAAACGAUGAGUGCUAAGUGUUAGGGGGUUUCCGCCCCUUAGUGCUGCAGCUAACGCAUUAAGCACUCCGCCUGGGGAGUACGGUCGCAAGACUGAAACUCAAAGGAAUUGACGGGGACCCGCACAAGCGGUGGAGCAUGUGGUUUAAUUCGAAGCAACGCGAAGAACCUUACCAAAUCUUGACAUCCUUUGACCGCUCUAGAGAUAGAGUUUUCCUCUUCGGAGGACAAAGUGACAGGUGGUGCAUGGUUGUCGUCAGCUCGUGUCGUGAGAUGUUGGGUUAAGUCCCGCAACGAGCGCAACCCUUGAACUUAGU